GAUGAACGCUGGCGGCGUGCCUAAUACAUGCAAGUCGAGCGAACGGACGAGAAGCUUGCUUCUCUGAUGUUAGCGGCGGACGGGUGAGUAACACGUGGAUAACCUACCUAUAAGACUGGGAUAACUUCGGGAAACCGGAGCUAAUACCGGAUAAUAUUUUGAACCGCAUGGUUCAAAAGUGAAAGACGGUCUUUCUGUCACUUAUAGAUGGAUCCGCGCUGCAUUAGCUAGUUGGUAAGGUAACGGCUUACCAAGGCAACGAUGCAUAGCCGACCUGAGAGGGUGAUCGGCCACACUGGAACUGAGACACGGUCCAGACUCCUACGGGAGGCAGCAGUAGGGAAUCUUCCGCAAUGGGCGAAAGCCUGACGGAGCAACGCCGCGUGAGUGAUGAAGGUCUUCGGAUCGUAAAACUCUGUUAUUUGGGAAGAACAUAUGUGUAAGUAACUGUGCACAUCUUGACGGUACCUAAUCAGAAAGCCACGGCUAACUACGUG
rnacentral:rRNA from 1 species